GUGCUCGCUUGGGCAGCACAUACACAAAAUUGCGACUAUACAGAGAAGAUUAGCAUUGGCCCUGUGCAAGAAAGAGAAGGGUCAGAUCUGCAGAAAGGCACUCUCCA